rnacentral:lncRNA from 1 species
CUUUAAUGUGUAGUGUUAGUGUUAUUAAUGGAAUUGGUCAGUCUCUAGUCUCUACAUAAAAUAGUUCAAUAGGUAUAGGUUAAAAUUUAAUUAUAGAAAAAGAAAGUUGACAAAAAGUAUCCAAUAUGACGCAUUAAAAUACAUGCUUAAUUUGGAAUGACUGUGAAUACAAUGCAGUGUUGCUAGAUAUAAAUAUAUAUUAACUGCAAAUAUUUUAAUUUAAAUGAAAUUU